AGACGGAGGGCGCAAGCGUUGUUCGGAAUUACUGGGCGUAAAGGGCAGGUAGGUGGUCUGUUAAGUCUUCUGUGAAAAUCCGGGGCUCAACCCCGUGAAAUGCAGGUGAAACUGGCAGACUUGAGACCGGUAGAGGCUAGCGGAAUUCCUGGUGUAGCGGUGGAAUGCGUAGAUAUCAGGAAGAACACCUGUGGCGAAGGCGGCUAGCUGGGCCGGUUCUGACACUGAACUGCGAAAGCGUGGGGAGCAAACAGGAUUAGAAACCCCGGUAGUCC
rnacentral:rRNA from 1 species